CAGCAGCCGCGGUAAUACGUAGGGUGCGAGCGUUAAUCGGAUUUACUGGGCGUAAAGCGUGCGCAGGCGGCCCGUUAAGACAGGUGUGAAAUCCCUGGGCUCAACCUAGGAAUUGCGCUUGUGACUGGCGGGCUCGAGUACGGUAGAGGGGGGUGGAAUUCCUGGUGUAGCAGUGAAAUGCGUAGAGAUCAGGAGGAACACCGAUGGCGAAGGCAGCCCCCUGGGCCUGUACUGACGCUCAUGCACGAAAGCGUGGGGAGCAAACAGGAUUAGAUACCCUGGUAGUCCACGCCCUAAACGAUGGGUACUAGCCGUUUGGUGCGCGAGAGCGCUGAGUGGCGAAGCUAACGCGUGAAGUGCCCCGCCUGGGGAGUACGGCCGCAAGGUUGAAACUUAAAGGAAUUGGCGGG
rnacentral:rRNA from 1 species